rnacentral:rRNA from 1 species
UAAGGGCGCACGGUGGAUGCCUUGGCACUAGAAGCCGAUGAAGGACGUUACUAACGACGAUAUGCUUUGGGGAGCUGUAAGUAAGCUUUGAUCCAGAGAUUUCCGAAUGGGGAAACCCAGCAUGAGUUAUGUCAUGUUAUCGAUAUGUGAAUACAUAGCAUAUCAGAAGGCACACCCGGAGAACUGAAACAUCUUAGUACCCGGAGGAAGAGAAAGAAAAUUCGAUUCCCUUAGUAGCGGCGAGCGAAACGGGAAGAGCCCAAACCAACAAGCUUGCUUGUUGGGGUUGUAGGACACUCUAUACGGAGUUACAAAGGACGACAUUAGACGAAUCAUCUGGAAAGAUGAAUCAAAGAAGGUAAUAAUCCUGUAGUCGAAAAUGUUGUCUCUCUUGAGUGGAUCCUGAGUACGACGGAGCACGUGAAAUUCCGUCGGAAUCUGGGAGGACCAUCUCCUAAGGCUAAAUACUCUCUAGUGACCGAUAGUGAACCAGUACCGUGAGGGAAAGGUGAAAAGCACCCCGGAAGGGGAGUGAAAUAGAACCUGAAACCGUGUGCUUACAAGUAGUCAGAGCCCGUUAAUGGGUGAUGGCGUGCCUUUUGUAGAAUGAACCGGCGAGUUACGAUUUGAUGCAAGGUUAAGCAGUAAAUGUGGAGCCGUAGCGAAAGCGAGUCUGAAUAGGGCGUUUAGUAUUUGGUCGUAGACCCGAAACCAGGUGAUCUACCCUUGGUCAGGUUGAAGUUCAGGUAACACUGAAUGGAGGACCGAACCGACUUACGUUGAAAAGUGAGCGGAUGAACUGAGGGUAGCGGAGAAAUUCCAAUCGAACCUGGAGAUAGCUGGUUCUCUCCGAAAUAGCUUUAGGGCUAGCCUCAAGUGAUGAUUAUUGGAGGUAGAGCACUGUUUGGACGAGGGGCCCCUCUCGGGUUACCGAAUUCAGACAAACUCCGAAUGCCAAUUAAUUUAACUUGGGAGUCAGAACAUGGGUGAUAAGGUCCGUGUUCGAAAGGGAAACAGCCCAGACCACCAGCUAAGGUCCCAAAAUAUAUGUUAAGUGGAAAAGGAUGUGGCGUUGCCCAGACAACUAGGAUGUUGGCUUAGAAGCAGCCAUCAUUUAAAGAGUGCGUAAUAGCUCACUAGUCGAGUGACACUGCGCCGAAAAUGUACCGGGGCUAAACAUAUUACCGAAGCUGUGGAUUGUCCUUUGGACAAUGGUAGGAGAGCGUUCUAAGGGCGUUGAAGCAUGAUCGUAAGGACAUGUGGAGCGCUUAGAAGUGAGAAUGCCGGUGUGAGUAGCGAAAGACGGGUGAGAAUCCCGUCCACCGAUUGACUAAGGUUUCCAGAGGAAGGCUCGUCCGCUCUGGGUUAGUCGGGUCCUAAGCUGAGGCCGACAGGCGUAGGCGAUGGAUAACAGGUUGAUAUUCCUGUACCACCUAUAAUCGUUUUAAUCGAUGGGGGGACGCAGUAGGAUA